rnacentral:lncRNA from 1 species
GUUGGAAUUGCCUUCCUGACAGGAGCGAGCUAAUGGCUAGCAACAGGUCUUCUUUAAGUUUAUUCUUACAGGUUGAUCACUCGUACCGUAAAAACGUAAAACAUCUGCUUUGACUCCUCGGAUGUCCACAUCUGCGCUGACUCCACAGACGUUUACAUCUGCACUGUCUUAAAUUAACGAAUCAAUAUCUACAAUCUACAAUGAUUCCACUGGCGUCCACAUCUGCAUUAUCUCCUUAGACAUCAACAUUUGGACUGACUGACCACAGACAUUUAUUAUUCACUAAACUUAUCAAUCACCACCUGUGCUGUGUGUUGAAUUUUUUUCUGGAAUUGUGUAGGAUUGGGACAAUAGUAGAUUUUGACUUUUUAUAAAUGAUAAUAAAUAUGAUUUUUUUAUACAUUUAUUGUUUCCCUUUCUGGAAUAAAGGAAUAUAAACAGC